rnacentral:rRNA from 1 species
GACAGAGGGUGCAAACGUUGUUCGGAAUUACUGGGCGUAAAGCGCGUGUAGGCGGCCCUGCAAGUCGGAUGUGAAAUCCCACGGCUCAACCGUGGAAGUGCAUUCGAAACUGCAGGGCUAGAGUCCUGGAGAGGAAGGUGGAAUGCUUGGUGUAGAGGUGAAAUUCGUAGAUAUCAAGCGGAACACCGGUGGCGAAGGCGGCCUUCUGGACAGUGACUGACGCUGAGGCGCGAAAGCGUGGGGAGCAAGCAGG